GCCUUUGCUGUUAUGCAGACUAGCUAUCUCCACACUGUGGUCUUGCGCCAGAGACCACCCAGAUUGUAUUCACGGCAAGGGUUAGGCAGUGGCUGGUGCACUCAUUUUUAGAUUCAAGUGAAAGCGUGUUUAUGAUCAGUUAGUGUCUCAGCUCUUACCGGUAGAGUGGUCUACAGGUCCUCCGCCGUUGUUACUGAACAGGGCAGUAUACAGGUCAGGGUAUGCCUUCUCCAGGGCUACACACAGGUCGAGGAAAUGGUCGCUCUCCUUGUUCAUCAGCAUCUUCAAAAGGUGGUCUACUUUCUCGGCGCUGGACGAACAGUUCUGGUCCAGUUCGAACCUAUCGAGUUGACUCAAGGUACCGGAAACUAUCAGCAGCUCGAUCACUCGGUCCGCAUCUGUUAUGGACUCCAGUGCAAGUGAUGAUGCCUUUUUAGGCUAAACUUACCAUGCCAGCGUUGGAUAAGCUGUCAAGACCAAUGGAUGGAUAUCCACCAGCAGGCCCACCUCCCCAGCCGCCUACAACAGACAACAAAGGCAAAGCUGUUCAGGAAAGCUGAGGAUUUAACGAAUAAGUGAAAGAGUGCUGGACAGAGAAUGGGAGUACUAUGUGAAAGAUGGACUGCGGGACUUGCUUCUCUUAGCAACAGCAGAG